rnacentral:miRNA from 1 species
CGGGGCUGUCGUGUCUGUCC